UAGACGGAGCGGAGCAUCCCAGGAGACAAGGAAUAAAUAUUGUAUCUUCGCCUUAAUAAGGAACCAAGUGCUUCUUUCAACAAUUUCGACGCUUUUUGUGGACAUUUUCCUUUUUGACCCGUUUGUAUUUUCAUCAGGUCUGCUGUUCGCUUUCGUCGUGUAAUAUUUUUUUCAUUCUCACAGCGACUUUUUACUUUAAAAUGUUUGGAUUUUCAACUGAAAUGUAAGUUUGCUUUGAAAUAUUAUACAGCUCAUUUCGACAUUUAGCAGCGGAAUACAACUGGAUUUUCAUUUAUUUCUUGAGGAACCUGAUCUUCUAUUUAGUGAGCUUCGAUGGGAAUUCUUAGAGUAACGGGCUGUUUUCGAUGCUCCCUGAAUGCUUUUUAUCUCAAGCAGCAUUUUUAUUAUUUUACUCUUAGGCUGAUAGGGCAGCGGAUUUUGAUUUCAAAAUCCAAGGAUAAUUUUUGAACAAAAUGAAUUAGAACUUUUGACAAGAGAAUUGAUCAAAUAACCUAAUUUAAGACAUUGUUCAGGAAUUAAAUAUCCUUUAUUUACAACAAAAACUGCAACACAAAGCUAGUGAGCCAAAUUCUUUGAAACAGUUUUUAUGUGUUUAUUGAAUUGAGAAUGCUGCCCACUAUAAUUCGUUUUCGUGCAUUUUUAUGAAUCCAUGGAGAACAGUUUAUGAUGAACUUUAUGUGUAUAUAUUCUUCUUUUUUUAUGGGGGGAGGGGUUGAGGGGGGUUAGUCUGAGUGAUGCCUUUGUAAAGAACUGACAGGAGCACGAGACCUUUUCUCUGUACAAAUCAGCACUGAGUGUGUAUGUGUGACCAAAGGCGCGUGCAUAGAGUGAAUAGAAAAAUGGCAUGACACUUUAUUAUUAUUAUUAUUAUUAUUAUUAUUAUUAUUAUAUUAUUAUUAAUAAUAUUAUUAUUAUUAUAUUUAUUAUUUUUAUUAUUAUUAUUGCUGUUGUUGUUUUUGUUGGAGUGGCAGUUAUUACAAAGAGGGACUUUUUUUUCGAUCAGUCGGUCAUGCUCGUGACCCGUCUCUCUCCAUUUCCUUCUCUCUCUCUCUUUCUGCCUUUCUCAUUGUGCUGCAACUCACCUGAGCACGCGCCCUCGGGGUGGUCCUGCCCAGCUGAAUGGAGCCGUUGUUUUGUUGUGGAGUGAGAUAAUAGAGGAGAUUUGUUUACCUUUAUUUUGAGUCUUGUAAAACAAAAAAGGGCCAAACUAACAGGUGGAAUAAAUUCUGUGGCACAGAGAGGUUAUAAAUUUGUCGUUGCUUUACAUGAUAAUGACAGAAGAAUAGGUGUAUAGAGGCACACAGCGAGGAAGUAGCCUAUUUUACCAGAAUGCUAGUACAGCACAGCCUAUUGCUGCCUUGCCCUUAGGCCACCGGAAAGCAACAGGAAUACAAAAUGUAAAAAAGCAUAAGCCCAAAGCUUGUGGUCACAGCCUGGAGAGGAGCAAAGCUGGGAAAUAAAGAGGAGGAAGAGAGGAGGGGAGGCUGAAGGAGGAGAGAGGAGAGUCUGUCAGAUUUCAAAACAAACCAGCGAAUAGAGAGAGAGAGAGAGAGAGAGAGAGAGAGAGAGAGAGAGAGAGAGAGAGAGAGAGAGAGAGAGAAGCCCUAAUCAGUCUUGUUUUGGAUGUUUUUCCCCCUGCUCAGCUGUAACUGUAACCAAAGCGACUCCCUGAUAUUAUUAAAGUGCAGACUGUGACCGUGCUGACGCCGGGACGCCGGGAUUGACUCUGCACUUUAAUUAAGCAACUAUUUCCCCUCCCAUCUGUUACUGCAUGCGUCUCUCUCUGCCCUAAUCUGCCACAAUAAUUAUAAUAAUAAUAAUAAUAAUAAUAAUAAUAAUAAUAAUAACAAUAAUAUUCAUAAUAAUAAUAAUAAUAAUUCAUAGAUUAGCCUAAAGGAGGGUUAUUGUUUCAAUAUUUUUAUCUAUUUUUUCACAUGCUGCCAUUUCUCUAUUUUCACCCACUUCCUCCCUUGUCACGUGGUUUCAGAAUUAAAUUCCCCCCCAAAAACAAGCUUAAAUAUUCCACAACAUCUUUUUCUUCUUGAUCAAGUCUAUUUACUCCAGUCACAUCUGAAAAAGAGUCCGGUAACAAACACAGACGGCCCGGGCGGCGCAGGGUUCCGCCUUAAAUAGCCUCCUUUAAAAAAGUUCUCAAGGCCUUUUAUAUUUUAAUUAACCGUUACCGAUUGUUUUGCCUCGGGGCUCGACGGGAAACCUCUGCACGACGAGACCGUUGAAGGCCGGUUGUCGCACGCCAGGUAUUUGAAAAAGAGGAUAGAGAAAGAGGGAGGGAGAGAGAGAGGGUGAAGGGUGGUGGUGGUUGAGGAGGAAGAGGAGGAGGAGGAGGAGGGGAGGAGGGAUGAGUAGGAAGGCCACCAGGCAAGGAGAUGGAGAGAAUAAGAGGGAGCUUUGGUGUCAAUUAAGGUAGUGAUACUAUGUUAACAUAAAACCACGAUUUCCUUAUCUCUGUGCAAGGAAAUACUUUGCAAAAUGAAGUCUACAAACUGGAAAAACACAGUCUAAACCACACUGAGAGAGGUGUUUGGGUUUGAUUUUAGUUUGAGCAGAAAAUCAUGUGGACAGUUGGAGUCUUUUGAUCAAAGACAAAUUACUUUAUCUAUGUGAUUAAAAGUAAACAGAAAACAGAGACUAAACCUAUGUAGAUUAGGGAGAAUAGAUAACUCACUUAAAUACCGGUCUAAUUUGCUGUUCAUGUUACUUAAAGCUAUUCAAGCUGGUUGUCUACCAAAUCUACUAUCUAAAUUAACCCACCAGCCCACUUCUAACUGUCUUAUUGUUUCAGCAAAAGGCCAGUCACUUUGGUGUCCAGAAACUUCACCCAAAUCCACACACUCAAUUAUCCAGUGACUGCAGUCUAAUUGGUCAAAGGUAAUAUAAGUCAGUGUUCUACCUCUGGGAACAAUAAAAUAUAAGGUCUAUCCCCAAAUCUACUAUUAUGAUAAACAUGUGCUUUAAAUGAUUGUUUAAGUUGCUUUAAUGCUAUUACAAUUUUUGGUCUACCAUCAGAAACUGUAAAAUUGUUGGUGUAGCACACUCCACUUAACUAACAUUUCAUCUAUCUCAACUAUCAGUUAACAGAAAGGUAAUUGAAUAUGCAGAUUUUAUUCAUUAACCGUUCCAUGAUAGCAUCACACAAUACUUCAUUUCACUUUAAGAUCAUUCAAUCAUUGAAAUUAGUGGUCUACCACAUAAAACAUUAUAAUUUUAGGUCCCCCUCCAAAAACAAAACAAAACAAAACAAAACAAAGCAAAAAGUUAAGUCAGAGGUCAUUUGCAUUGGUGUUCUACUUUCAGAAACCAAAUAAUUUAAAUGUGAACCCCAAAUCUGCAAAUUUUUUGACCGACCAGGUCAGUAAUUGCAUUCAACAAAUGGUUUAAGACACUUCAAGGUCAUUUAAAUUAGUGGUCUGUCAUCAGAAACAUUAAAAUUUUAGGUCAGCCACCUAAUCUGCACACUGUAGGUACUAACUAAACAGAUUACUGUUUGUUGUCUUGCUGUUCACUUUAACCACAAGGCCAUUCUAAUCGGUGAUCUACAGCUUGAAAUGCAAUUAUUAUAGGUCUACCUUUAAAUCAGCACACAUAUAAGUAAUUGCAUUUGAAUUGAUUUUUAACUUUCCUAAGGCGAUUGAAAAUUUAGGAAAACAUUUAGGUUCCACCUACUAAUCUGCACAAUUAAUCAACCUAACACGCCAGUAACUCCUCUUUAAUUAAUUGUUGAUGCCACUCUCAGGCCAUUGAAAUUUGUGGUCUACCUCCAGAAUCUAUCAAGUUGAAAAUCUACCCCCAAAUCUACACUUUUAAUCAGUGAUUUUGAAAUAUCACCAGAAACAAUACAAUGUCACAGCACUAUUUGACAUUAAAGUUUUGAUAUUUUAUAUUAUUUGAUCUUAAAUUUGAUAUCAGAGUCACUGCAAAGCUGUUCAAGUUGGUGUUCUACCGCACCACCAGAAUAGGCUAUUGUACAGCCUACAUUUAGGGCUUCCCAUUUUCUGCACAUUAUUAUUUUAACAGAUCACUGAGCUUGUGAGUCCCCCCCCCAUGAUAGCAUGAGUUUUUUUUUUUUUUUUUUGCUUAAAUUCUACCUGAGAGACAGAUAUGUGUUUGCAUUCAGGCUGCCAACCCGGGCGAGGCACCAGUUGCACGGUAGACGGUCCUAAUAGGGCUUAACGCCGACGAGUAGUCCCGCUUUACCGGCGGGGCUGGGAGCGCAGCACCAGAUGCGCACUGAUCUCCGGACAGGAGCCAGUCCAUCUGCCGCCUGACGAGGCAGGGAAAGGCCCCGAAACCCCGCACAGCCCACAGCCCAGAGGCGAGAAUUUAGAUCAGCCCCGAGCUUCCUGGAUGGAGCACUGAUCCAGCAGAGAGAGAGAGAGAGAGAGAGUGAGAGAGAGAGAGAGAGAGAGAGAGAGAGAGAGAGAGAGAGAGAGAGAGAGAGAGAGAGAGAGAGAGAGAAUGGGGCUCUGGUGUCUGUUUUUAGAGGAAGAGACAGAAAAGAAGACGAUAAGAAGGAAGAAGAUAGGGGGUUUUAAGUUAUGGGCACGUGGUUUUGGCGCACUCCCAAGCCCCUUUGAAGCUAAUGAAUCCAUUAUUUUUUAACCCAAUAUGCGGCUAUCUAAUUAUUAGCUAUGCCUCUUCUGAAAUAAAAAUAUGGCGAUGCUUUUGUCACCAUAGAAAAAUAAUCCUGUAAUCGUAAAAUAUGUUGUGGAACAAACAAAACGAAUAAAUAGACUUAACUUUUUUUUAUACUUUUGACUCCCCUGUAUCAAAUUAUUGAAAAAUGCACCAAUUUCACCUUCUCCCCUGAUUCCUUCAUGUCAACAAAUAAAAUGAAAGUUUCCAUGCCAUCCCUCUUUUCCUGCUCUUUUUGUCUUCCUUUAAGCCCUGAUUGGUUUAAAUGGCUUAAUAGAGUGCAACAACUUAUCCAUAAUAGAUCACUCUAUAGCCUGCAGUCAUUUAGCCUAUUGCUACCACAGUAACAGUAAAAUGUAAUCCCCUUAUAGGCUUUAAGACUCCUUUUAAGUAUAUUAUGUCAGAUUGUAACACUUUCAGAGGUCUUAAGUGACAGCGAUGCGUUUAAUAGCGGUAGGGAUUUAUAGGCUAACCAUCCAGACUUGUAUUUAAUUCGUUGUCGCUUAUGUAGCCUAAUGAAAAAGGAAAUGUAGACUCAAUGGUGUGUAUUAAUAUGUGGUCUGAAGUCAGAGGACACUAAAAAUUCAUAACACUGUCUGCUUGCAGUCUGUGUGUGCACAUGUGUUGGCCUUGUUUAUGAGUCUGUUUUGGUUUUAAUCAGCCCCGGUCAGACACCGACCUCAUAUGGCCAUGAGCGUCCGUUAACUCGGUGCUGUAGUACCCUAGCCUGUGUGUGUGUGUGUGUGUGUGUGUGUGUGUGUGUGUGUGUGUGUGUGUGUGUGUGUGUGUGUGUGUGUGUGUGUGUGUGGGCCUGCACCUUUCCAGCCAAAAUAACGACUGGCAUAAUGAAGGCGAACCAUAACAAACGGCCCAGAAGAUGUUUGUCCAAAAGCAAUUAAGAAAAUGGUGUGUGACCUACAUACAGGAAGCGCCUCGGAAGGA
rnacentral:lncRNA from 1 species